rnacentral:lncRNA from 1 species
GUUUCCUGUACGAGCAUUCCCACUGCACCAGCGCUGCUGUCUGGCCGUCACAAACUUGACGCCAAACAAUUAUCUGCUGUUCGUCAAAUUUUAAGCAUUCAGGGCUCACCACCUUACUUGGUGGCUGGCCAGCUUUGUGUUGAAAGGAACGUUUUUAGGCCGUCGAGAACUGGAGAGGUAGUUUGUGAAGCAGUGCACCAGUUAUGUCAAACCUCACUCAAAAAUAGGAUGCUGAUAUGUGCUCCUAGUAACCGCUGUUGUGAUGGGAUUAUGAGCAGCUUGUUGAAAGUGAUUCCAGAGUCAGAUAUGUUUCGAGCCAACGCUGCAUUCCGUGAGAAAGAUGAGGUGCCUGAUGACAUCCUCCCAUCAUGCCUUUACGAAGACCCUUAUUUCUCUUGUCCUCCAACUGAGAAGCUUAAAAAAUUCAGGGUGAUUUUCUCGACUCUCAUGAGUAGCUUUCGGCUACAUGAUAAAGGCCUAACUUCUGGACAUUUUAGUCAUAUUUUUCUGGUGGAUGCUUCAUCUGCCAUUGAGCCGGAAACAGCAGUGGCCUUAACUAAUUUUGUAGAAAAAAGUACUACUGUUAUAGUCACUGGUCAACCAGGAGAUAAUUCACGUUGGGUUCGAGCAGACAUGGCAAGACAACAGGGACUGAAGAUUUCAUACUUCGAGAGACUUUUCAAGUCAAGGCCAUAUAGAAGCCUCAAUCCAAUGCUAAUCACACAAUUGGACCAGUAGCAAGAGCCACACUCAGCAACAUCUACAGG